GACGAACGCUGGCGGCGUGCUUAACACAUGCAAGUCGAACGGAAAGGCCCUGCUUUUGUGGGGUGCUCGAGUGGCGAACGGGUGAGUAACACGUGAGUAACCUGCCCUUGACUUUGGGAUAACUUCAGGAAACUGGGGCUAAUACCGGAUAGGAGCUCCUGCUGCAUGGUGGGGGUUGGAAAGUUUCGGCGGUUGGGGAUGGACUCGCGGCUUAUCAGCUUGUUGGUGGGGUAGUGGCUUACCAAGGCUUUGACGGGUAGCCGGCCUGAGAGGGUGACCGGCCAAAUUGGGACUGAGAUCCGGCCCAGACCCCUACGGGGGGAAGCAGUGGGGAAUAUUGCACAGGGGGCGGAAGCCUGAUGCAGCAACGCCGCGGGGGGGAGGACGGCCUUCGGGUUGUAAACCGCUUUCGCCUGUGACGAAGCGUGGGUGACGGUAAUGGGUAAAGAAGCACCGGCUAACUACGU
rnacentral:rRNA from 1 species